rnacentral:rRNA from 1 species
AUACAGGGGGUGCGAGCGUUAAUCGGAAUUACUGGGCGUAAAGAGUACGUAGGCGGUUGCUUAAGUCAGAUGUGAAAGCCCCGGGCUCAACCUGGGAACUGCAUUUGAAACUGAGUGACUAGAGUUUAAGAGAGGGGAGUAGAAUUCCGGGUGUAGCGGUGAAAUGCGUAGAGAUCCGGAGGAAUACCAGUGGCGAAGGCGGCUCCCUGGCUUAAAACUGACGCUGAGGUACGAAAGCGUGGGGAGCAAACAGGAUUAGAAACCCCAGUAGUCC